rnacentral:rRNA from 1 species
GGGAGCUUGCUCCCUGAUAUUAGCGGCGGACGGGUGAGUAACACGUGGGCAACCUGCCCUGCAGAUGGGGAUAACUCCGGGAAACCGGGGCUAAUACCGAAUAAUCGGUUCUUCCGCAUGGAAGAACUCUGAAAGACGGUUUCGGCUGUCACUGCAGGAUGGGCCCGCGGCGCAUUAGCUAGUUGGUGGGGUAACGGCCUACCAAGGCGACGAUGCGUAGCCGACCUGAGAGGGUGAUCGGCCACACUGGGACUGAGACACGGCCCAGACUCCUACGGGAGGCAGCAGUAGGGAAUCUUCCACAAUGGACGAAAGUCUGAUGGAGCAACGCCGCGUGAGCGAAGAAGGUUUUCGGAUCGUAAAGCUCUGUUGCGAGGGAAGAACAAGUACGGGAGUAACUGCCCGUACCUUGACGGUACCUCGUUAGAAAGCCACGGCUAACUACGUGCCAGCAGCCGCGGUAAUACGUAGGUGGCAAGCGUUGUCCGGAAUUAUUGGGCGUAAAGCGCGCGCAGACGGUCCUUUAAGUCUGAUGUGAAAGCCCACGGCUCAACCGUGGAGGGUCAUUGGAAACUGGAGGACUUGAGUACAGAAGAGGAAAGUGGAAUUCCACGUGUAGCGGUGAAAUGCGUAGAGAUGUGGAGGAACACCAGUGGCGAAGGCGACUUUCUGGUCUGUAACUGACGUUGAGGCGCGAAAGCGUGGGGAGCAAACAGGAUUAGAUACCCUGGUAGUCCACGCCGUAAACGAUGAGUGCUAAGUGUUAGGGGGUUUCCGCCCCUUAGUGCUGCAGCUAACGCAU